AGGUCCAGCUCCAGCAGCGUCCGGUGCCAGCGGAGAGUCACCGACAGCCAGGAACCGGAACCGGAACCGGAACCGGAACCGGAACCGGAACAGCCGGGGGGAACCGACACCGAGAGACGCUCCAGCCCUGGGGACACAGGUGUGACACAGGGGUGACACAGGUGUGACACAGGUGACAAUGGCUCAGGUCCAGCUCCAGCAGCGUCCGGUGCCAGCGGAGAGUCACGGCCAGCCAGGAACCGGAACCGGAACCGGAACCGGAACCGGAACAGCCGGGGGGAACCGACACCGAGAGACGCUCCAGCCCUGGGGACACAGGGGUGACACAGGGACAGGUGUGACACAGGUGUGACACAGGUGACAAUGGGACAAUGGGACAGGUGUGACACAGGUGUGACACAGGUGACACAGGUGUGACACAGGUGUGACACAGGUGUGACACAGGGGUGACACAGGGGUGACACAGGUUACAAUGGGACAGGUGUGACACAGGUGUGACACAGGUGACACAGGGGUGACACAGGUGACAAUGGGACAGGUGUGACACAGGGGUGACACAGGUGACACAGGUGUGACACAGGUGUGACACAGGGGACAAUGGGACAGGUGACAAAGAUGACACAGGUGACACAAGUGUGACAGGUGACAAUGGGACAGGUGACACAGGUGUGAUACGGGUGACACAGGUGUGACACAGGUGACACUGGGACAGGUGACAAAGAUGACACAGGUGUGACACAGGUGUGACAGGUGACAAUGGGACAGGUGACACAGGUGGACACAGGGACAGGUGACAAUGGGACCAGCUGUCCCCAGGUGUGUCUGGGUGUCCCCAGCUGUAUCCAGGUGUCCCCAGGUGUAUCCAGGUGUGUCCCCAGGUGUCCCAGGUGUGUCUGGGUGUGUCCCCAGGUGUGUCUGGGUGUGUCCCCAGGUGUGUCCCCAGGUGUCCCCAGGUGUCCCCAGGUGCAUCCAGGUGUCCCCAGGUGUGUCCCCAGGUGUGUCUGGGUGUGUCCCCAGGUGUGUCCCCAGGUGUCCCCAGGUGUGUCCCCAGGUGUGUCU
rnacentral:lncRNA from 1 species